rnacentral:rRNA from 1 species
AUACGGAAGGUCCGGGCGUUAUCCGGAUUUAUUGGGUUUAAAGGGAGCGCAGGCGGAGAUGCAGGCGUGACGUCAAAUUUCGGGGCUCAACCCCGUCUCGCGUCGCGAACUGCGUCCCUUGGUUGCGGGAAGGGGAGGCGGAACUCGUGGUGUAGCGGUGAAAUGCUUAGAGAUCACACAGAAUAUCGAUUGCGAAGGCAGCUCACAAAGCCAAGAUUGACGCUGAGGCACGAAAGUGUGGGGAUCAAACAGGAUUAGAGACCCUGGUAGUCCACACUGUAAACGAUGAUAACUCGCUGUCGGCGAUAUCCAGUCGGUGGCCAAGCGAAAGCGAUAAGUUAUCCCCCUGGGGAGUACGACCGCAAGGUUGAAACUCAAAUGAAUUGGCGGGG